AUUGAACGCUGGCGGCAGGCCUAACACAUGCAAGUCGAGCGGAUGACGGGAGCUUGCUCCUUGAUUCAGCGGCGGACGGGUGAGUAAUGCCUAGGAAUCUGCCUGGUAGUGGGGGACAACGUUUCGAAAGGAACGCUAAUACCGCAUACGUCCUACGAGAGAAAGCAGGGGACCUUCGGGCCUUGCGCUAUCAGAUGAGCCUAGGUCGGAUUAGCUAGUUGGUGAGGUAAUGGCUCACCAAGGCGACGAUCCGUAACUGGUCUGAGAGGAUGAUCAGUCACACUGGAACUGAGACACGGUCCAGACUCCUACGGGAGGCAGCAGUGGGGAAUAUUGGACAAUGGGCGAAAGCCUGAUCCAGCCAUGCCGCGUGUGUGAAGAAGGUCUUCGGAUUGUAAAGCACUUUAAGUUGGGAGGAAGGGCAGUAAGUUAAUACCUUGCUGUUUUGACGUUACCGACAGAAUAAGCACCGGCUAACUCUGUGCCAGCCGCCGCGUAAGAC
rnacentral:rRNA from 1 species